GAUGAACGCUAGCGGCAGGCUUAACACAUGCAAGUCGUGGGGCAGCGCGGACUUCGGUCUGGCGGCGACCGGCAAACGGGUGCGGAACACGUACGCAACCUCCCUCAGAGCGGGGAAUAGCCUCUCGAAAGAGAGAUUAAUACCCCAUAGUAUCUUGAAGACACAUGUCUAUGAGAUUAAAGCUUCGGCACUUUGAGAUGGGCGUGCGGCUGAUUAGGUAGUUGGUAGGGUAACGGCCUACCAAGCCGACGAUCAGUAGCUGAUGUGAGAGCAUGAUCAGCCACACGGGCACUGAGACACGGGCCCGACUCCUACGGGAGCAGCAGUGAGGAAUAUUGGUCAAUGGAGGAAACUCUGAACCAGCCAUGCCGCGUGGAGGAUGAAGGUCCUCUGGAUUGUAAACUCCUUUUAUAAAAGAAGAAACCCCAUUUUUCUAAAUGGGUUGACGGUACUUUAUGAAUAAGCACCGGCUAACUCCGUGCCAGCAGCCGACGG
rnacentral:rRNA from 1 species